rnacentral:rRNA from 1 species
UACGUAGGGGGCAAGCGUUGUCCGGAUUUAUUGGGCGUAAAGAGCGUGUAGGCGGUUUGGUAGGUCCGUUGUGAAAACUCGAGGCUCAACCUCGAGACGCCGAUGGAAACCAUCAGACUAGAGUCCGGAAGAGGAGAGUGGAAUUCCUGGUGUAGCGGUGAAAUGUGCAGAUAUCAGGAAGAACACCCGUGGCUAAGGCGGCUCUCUAGUACGGUACUGACGCUGAGACGCGAAAGCGUGGGGAGCGAACAGG